UAACAAAAAAAUAAAAAUAAACAAACUAAGUACUGGUGCAGCAGGAACUAUAUGGAGCUAAAUGCUGUUGCUCCAUUUAGUUCCUGCUGUACCAGUACUUAGUUUGUUUAUUUAUAAGAACAAAAC
rnacentral:pre_miRNA from 1 species